ensembl:rRNA 5S_rRNA 5S ribosomal RNA
GCUUACGGCCAUACCACCCUGAGCACGCCCGAUCUCGUCUGUUCUCAGAAGCUAAGCAGGGUGGGGCCUGGUUAGAACUUGGAUGGGAGACCGCCUGGGAAUACCAGGUGCUGUAAGCU